GUUGGGAUCUGUUUCCAAACCAGAAUGGAAGUUUGCCUGUGAUUUAACAGUAUCAAGUCUUCUGGAACAAAGAGCAUUAUCUUGUAAAUCAAGACUGAUCUGAAAUACUACUCCAACCACCACCCUCUUCGUCGCCAUACUUGGUCACAAUGGUGGGCUUGUCUGAAACUGGAGAGUACAGAAUAUGCCACCGUCGCUGCCUAUGUGUCUUGUGAAUGGAGGUGUCCAUUGCUGAAUCAACCUAACAGGCAGGGUCUGGAAAAGUUACUCUUUUGGACCACAACGCUGACAGUUCCUACCACCUGGGGAUUGUGGGAGUUGUAGUCCCACCUGCAAACCCUUCUGAAGCUCUGCUAACCAGCUACUUGUGCUAACAUGCAUUCCUGACAGACAGCGCUUUGUAAUAAAACAUGUGGUCUGAUUGUUCCUUUAAAUGAA
rnacentral:lncRNA from 1 species